rnacentral:rRNA from 1 species
AUUGAACGCUGGCGGCAUGCUUUACACAUGCAAGUCGGACGGCAGCGGGGGUGCUUGCACCUGCCGGCGAGUGGCGAACGGGUGAGUAAUAUAUUGGAACGUACCGAGUAGUGGGGGAUAACUAAGCGAAAGUUUAGCUAAUACCGCAUACGACCUGAGGGUGAAAGCGGGGGACGGGAGACUGCCUCGCGCUAUUUGAGCGGCCAAUAACUGAUUAGCUAGUUGGUGGGGUAAAGGCCUACCAAGGCGAUGAUCAGUAGCGGGUCUGAGAGGAUGAUCCGCCACACUGGGACUGAGAGACGGCCCAGACUCCUACGGGAGGCAGCAGUGGGGAAUUUUGGACAAUGGGGGCAACCCUGAUCCAGCCAUGCCGCGUGUCUGAAGAAGGCCUUCGGGUUGUAAAGGACUUUUGUUAGGGAAGAAAAGGGAAGUGCUAAUAUCACUUUUUGCUGACGGUACCUAAAGAAUAAGCACCGGCUAACUACGUGCCAGCAGCCGCGGUAAUACGUAGGGUGCGAGCGUUAAUCGGAAUUACUGGGCGUAAAGCGAGCGCAGACGGUUAUUUAAGUCAGAUGUGAAAUCCCCGAGCUUAACUUGGGAACUGCGUUUGAAACUGGGUAACUAGAGUAUGUCAGAGGGGGGUAGAAUUCCACGUGUAGCAGUGAAAUGCGUAGAGAUGUGGGAGGAAUACCGAUGGCGAAGGCAGCCCCCUGGGAUAAUACUGACGUUCAUGCUCGAAAGCGUGGGGUACAAACAGGAUUAUAUACUCUGUUAGUCCAAGGGGAAAUUCCACAGUGGAUAUCAAGCUUAUCGAUACCCUCAACCUCCAGGGGGGGGCCCGGUACCCAGUUUUUUUUUCCCUUUAAUGAAGGUUUAUUAA